rnacentral:lncRNA from 1 species
GCACGAUCAGUAUCUAGAAGGAGAAGGAUCAAAGGAGCAAGGGAGGUCUUUUAGGCUUGGUCUUAUAGCACAAGGGAUGCCCUAUUGCAAAAUAGGGACAUUGAGCCAUGCUCGAGAUCAAUUACCAUCGAGCGGCUAGAUUUGAUGAGUAUGCUAGCAACCCUGAGUGCUCCAUAGGGUGAGUGAAAGGAGGGUGGGGGGAGAG